UGGGGAAUAUUGGACAAUGGGGGAAACCCUGAUCCAGCAAUGCCGCGUGAGUGAUGAAGGCCUUAGGGUUGUAAAGCUCUUUUACCAGGGAUGAUAAUGACAGUACCUGGAGAAUAAGCUCCGGCUAACUCCGUGCCAGCAGCCGCGGUAAUACGGAGGGAGCUAGCGUUGUUCGGAAUUACUGGGCGUAAAGCGCGCGUAGGCGGCUAUUCAAGUCAGGGGUGAAAUCCCGGGGCUCAACCCCGGAACUGCCCUUGAAACUGGCAAGCUAGAGGAUGUGAGAGGAUAGUGGAAUUCCGAGUGUAGAGGUGAAAUUCGUAGAUGUUCGGAAGAACACCAGUGGCGAAGGCGACUGACUGGCACAUUUCUGACGCUGAGGUGCGAAAGCGUGGGGAGCAAACAGGAUUAGAUACCCCCGUAGUCC
rnacentral:rRNA from 1 species